GCCUGUCCGAGCGUCAUUUCUGCCCUCAAGCACGGCUUGUGUGUUGGGUGUGGUCCCCCCGGGGACCUGCCCGAAAGGCAGCGGCGACGUCCGUCUGGUCCUCGAGCGUAUGGGGCUCUGUCACUCGCUCGGGAAGGACCUGCGGGGGUUGGUCACCACCACAUUUUCCAUUAUGGUUGACCUCGGAUCAGGUAGGAGUUACCCGCUGAACUUAAGCAUAUCAAUAAGCGGAGGAAAAGAAACCAACCGGGAUUGCCUCAGUAACGGCGAGUGAAGCGGCAAGAGCUCAAAUUUGAAAUCUGGCCCUUUCAGGGUCCGAGUUGUAAUUUGCAGAGGAUGCUUCGGGUGCGGUCCCCAUCUAAGUGCCCUGGAACGGGCCGUCAUAGAGGGUGAGAAUCCCGUCUGGGAUGGGCGGCCGUGCCCGUGUGAAGCUCCUUCGACGAGUCGAGUUGUUUGGGAAUGCAGCUCUAAGUGGGUGGUAAAUUUCAUCUAAAGCUAAAUACUGGCCGGAGACCGAUAG
rnacentral:rRNA from 1 species